rnacentral:lncRNA from 1 species
CCGUGAAGUCUUAUCUGAACCUUCUGCUGAAGCAGAAGAUGGAUGGCAGUCAGUGCAGAGACCAAGGUCAGGUGGUUUCUAUGGACGAAGACGAAGGCAGAGGCGGCAAACCAUCAGCAAGGUCAUUGGUUACCAGAAAAAGGACUCUGUUUCUGAGGUUGAUCAUGCUAAACUGAAGAAUAACUAUCAAGCUAGUAAAUAUUAUGU